AUUUUGACUAAUUUUCGGAAUUAUCUCAUAUUAAAAUAGCUUCUGUGCCACAAAAAUAAACAAAGAUUGCUGCAUGGCCGGUAAUUUUAUAAAACUUGUUUCAAUAUUAUGUGGAAUGGAGUCGAAAGAAGUGGGGUUCUAGCCGAAGUGCAUAAUUAGCGAAAAGAAGAAGUCGAAGCCAGAUACCGUACCAGGCCUCCAGUCGCCUCCGCAAGAAGAACCAUUGAAUAAUGGUUCAUGAGUUCACACUAAUUUAUUCUGGUUGCGGCAGAAAUUCACAACGGGUCAACAAAACCAAGGUCCAUUCAAACUCACUAAAUCAGAUCCUGAAAGUACCAUCUUUAGCCACUGUUACUGUUGAAUAACUCCAGGCUUUGGAAGAAAAGCUGUGGCCUGCGAACAGCUGUGAAUAUUGGUCGGAGAAGUGUAACUG